AUAGUUCUUAAUUAUUUGAGCUUGUUACAGAGUUGGGUCUGUGUGUUCAUUAGAUAUAUUAUAUGCGGGUUGUUUCUCUCUGCACCCCCAUAAUUUAAGAAAAGGCCAGUGUCCUUGUCUUUUGCGUGUUAGUUUUUCAAUUAGACUUUUUGGAAGGGUUAAAAAACCUUUGGGAUCUGAUGAUUGGAGAGGAAAAUUGUGGUAUGCAUAAUACAAUUUAUAAUUAUAAGGUCGACAACUCUAGAUUAGACUUUUAGGGAAAAGUGCAUUUUUGUCAUAGAUUCUGGAAGAGUGGAUCUGGAUUUUUUUU
rnacentral:lncRNA from 1 species